GCCGCCCAAAUGCUGGAGAUUGUACGGGUUCCUAAUCUGUAGGUCACAGGUUCGAUUCCUGUCGGGAUCACCA
rnacentral:tRNA from 1 species